ensembl:snRNA U6 U6 spliceosomal RNA
AUGCUUUGGCAGCACAUAUACUAAAAUCAGAACAAUACAGAGAAGAUCAGCAUGGCUUCUGCACAAUGAUGACAUGCACAUUCAUGAAGCAUUCCAUAUUUUU